UGUUUUGAAGACUUCUGGUUUGUCCCGUGAUCUCGGCACUGAAAAUGAGCGCAGUUGAAUAAGCAGGUGCUGUUGCUACAGGAAGCUGUGAGUUGGUGCAGCGAUGUGCUGCUGCUCUGUCAAGUUUCAUAUCUUAAUCUUACAGCAGGAAAUGAAUGAUAAACAUUAUUAACAUUAAUUAAUUGCAGUAUAAUAAAGCAAAACCACUUCAGGAUGGGUAGUAUUCACACGAAACAUUUGCUGUUAUUCUGGUGAUGGCCACUUGUAGGGCAUUCUUUGCGUCCUGUUUUGACCGGGGAGGUGCUCCUGCUGGCCUAGGUAGCAGCAAAGAGUUUUCAUUUGUAAGAUAAUCCUGUAUUAUUGAAACUCAGGUUUCAUCAGUGACAGAAGAAAUGUGUCUAUAGGUCUGUGCUGCCAGCUAUUCAGGGUGUGACGCACCUCGGGUGAGGAAUGGCCUAGCCAAUUCACAGACUUUGUUUAAACGGGACUGUCUGAAUGCUGCUUCCAGCUGGGGAAAACUUCUCAUUUGUGACUGCAGAAGGCUGAGGGGCUGCAACAGGAGAGUGUGCUGGGCUGCUUCUCCACCCCUCUGCAGCAUCCUGAGCUGUCUGCAGCCCACAGGAGCGAGCAGGAGACGGGUAGGAGUUGUGUGGGAUGAAGAGGGGAAUCCUCUGCAUGGAUCUGGGGUUAUCUUAAGCUUCUGGGGACCCACAUCCCCAGACAGACACUUCAGGUCUUCAGAACUCUUUUUUCCACAUGCAUAACGUGUAUGGAUUCUUACUAAUGCACAGGCAAGGAGCAUAGCUGCAGCUGUUCAGAUGUUCUAAAUAUAGAGGGAAACGUUCCCAACAGAAGCAGAUAUUCAGGGGGUUUACAGAAUAAAUCUAUAAAUCUGAUAAGUCAGAGGUACAGCUGGUACUUCUGCUGCCACAUCUUAACCCUUUCAGCUUCCUCCCCAUCCCAAGGUUUGGAGUGUUUUAACAUUGGAACUAUCAUUUGAAAUAAGAAGUCAUCAUCAAAAACUGUGGAGCUAGAAAUGCUUGCAAGAUGGUUAUUGAAGAUCAGGGGAGGAUUUUUGGUAUUACUUUUGAUAGUAACUAUAGUGCGUUGGUUUUAAGAUGCCAUCCUAGGCAACAGAUUAACUGCUUUCAUUUUGUUUGACUCUUUCAGAGCCAUGCAGGAUGUUCUGUGCUUUGCCACAACGUCAGCCAGGCCAGAUCAGCCUUGGAGCAGCCUGCUGUAAGGUCGUGCAAAGCAGUCCCUCUGGGUAUUGGAACGUCUGGGAUUA
rnacentral:lncRNA from 1 species